rnacentral:tRNA from 30 species
GCCGAGGUAGCUCAGUCGGUAGAGCAGGGGACUGAAAAUCCCCGUGUCGGCAGUUCGAUUCUGUCCCUCGGCACCA